rnacentral:rRNA from 1 species
GACGAACGCUGGCGGCGUGCCUAAUACAUGCAAGUCGAGCGGAAGUUGAAGAGCUUGCUCUUCAGCUUUAGCGGCGGACGGGUGAGUAACACGUGGGCAACCUGCCCUGCAGAUCGGGAUAACUCCGGGAAACCGGUGCUAAUACCGAAUAGUUUUCGCCACCUCCUGGUGGCGUACGGAAAGACGGUUUCGGCUGUCACUGCAGGAUGGGCCGGCGGCGCAUUAGCUAGUUGGUGGGGUAACGGCCCACCAAGGCAACGAUGCGUAGCCGACCUGAGAGGGUGAUCGGCCACACUGGGACUGAGACACGGCCCAGACUCCUACGGGAGGCAGCAGUAGGGAAUCUUCCGCAAUGGACGAAAGUCUGACGGAGCAACGCCGCGUGAGUGACGAAGGUUUUCGGAUCGUAAAACUCUGUUGUGAGGGAAGAACAAGUACCACUUAACUACUGGUACCUUGACGGUACCUCACCAGAAAGCCACGGCUAACUACGUGCCAGCCGCCGCUGUAACAC